rnacentral:rRNA from 1 species
AUGGGAAUCUUCAAGCUCUCCUUACUUUUCUCCAUUCUUACCUUCCUCCUCCUCGCUAUUAUCACCGCCGGGGACGAGCUCGGCACGUACGUCAUCCACGUGAAGCCCCAGGAGAACCGCCUGUUCGGCACGACGGACGACUACCGGAAGGCGUGGCAUCAGUCCUUCCUACCCGAGCAUGGCCGGCUGCUCCACUCCUACCACCACGUAGCAAGCGGCUUCGCGGCGCGGCUGACGCGGCGGGAGCUCGAAGCCGUCUCCGCCAUGCCCGGGUUCAUCGCCGCGGUGCAGGACGUGAUCUACCACGUGCAGACGACGCACACGCCGCAGUUCCUGGGACUGGACACGGCGCUGGGCGCAAGGAACUUGUCCGUUGGCUCCGGCGAUGGCGUCAUCAUUGGAGUGCUCGACACCGGUAUCUUCCCCGAUCACCCCUCCUUCAGCGGCUUCGGCAUGAUGCCGCCGCCGGCCAAGUGGAAGGGGAGGUGCGACUUCAACGGCUCUGCGUGCAACGGGCACAAGCUGAUCGGUGCUCGGACCUUCAUCAGCAGCAUCAACGGCAGUGCUGCCGCCCCCGUGUCGCCGAUCGACGGGCAUGGGCACGGCACGCACACGUCCAGCACCGCCGCAGGAUCGGCCGUGCCGGGUGCUCAGGUGCUCGCGCAGGGCAACGGCACUGCGUCCGGCAUUGCGCCCCGCGCGCACGUCGCCAUGUACAAGGUUUGCGACGCGAGCGGCGCCUGCGCCGGUGUAGAUGUGCUCGCCGGCAUUGACGCCGCCGUGUCCGACGGCUGCGACGUUAUAUCCAUGUCUCUCGGCUUUCCGCAGCGGCCUUUCUACAAUGAUAGCGUCGCCGUCGGCACGUUCGCCGCAGCAGAGAAGGGGAUCUUCGUCAGCAUGGCGGCUGGCAACGUCGGCCCGAGAAACUCCACGAUAUUAAAUGAGGCGCCAUGGAUGCUCACCGUCGCGGCGAGCACCAUGGACCGUUUGAUCAUCGCCAAGGUUAUCCUUGGAGAAAACCUCUCCUUCGACGGCGAGUCGCUCUACCAGCCCGGUAACUCGGUGGCUGCCCCGUUGUUCUACCCCGGUGGGAACUCAACGCCCUCCGCCCAGUUCUGCGGCAACGGCUCGCUGGACGGCUUUGACGUCAAGAACAAGAUAGUGCUGUGCGACAGCGGCAACGUCCUGCCGGUGGAGAAGGGAGCCGAGGUGCUGAGAGCCGGAGGCGCAGGCAUGAUUCUGGCCAACGAGUUUUCCCAGGGCUACAUCACGUCCCCGGUCGCGCACGUCCUGCCGGCCUCGCGAGUCAGCUAUGCUGCUGGAGUGGAGAUCAAGAACUACAUCAAGUCCACGCCGAACGCGAUGGCCAAUAUCUCCUUCAUAGGCACGGUCCUCGGCACGUCGCCGGCCCCGGUCAUCACCUACUUCUCCUCCCGUGGCCCCAGCGUCCACAGCCCCGGCAUUCUCAAGCCUGACAUCACGGGCCCCGGCGUGAACGUGAUCGCGGCGUGGCCGUUCCAUGUCGGCCCGCCGUCGAUUGACCUCAGGCCGACCUUCAACAUUCUCUCCGGCACGUCCAUGUCGACGCCGCACCUUGCUGGUGUCGCCGCGCUGAUCAAGAGCAAGCACCCCGACUGGUCGCCGGCCGCGAUCAAGUCCGCCAUCAUGACCACCGCCGACGUCAACGACCGCUCCGGCACGCCGAUACUCGACGAGCAGCACAAGGCCGCCGACCUCUUCGCUGUCGGGGCCGGCCAUGUCAAUCCGGAGAAGGCCGUGGACCCCGGCCUGGUCUUCGAUGCUGCCGCCGAAGACUACAUCGGCUACUUGUGCGGCAUGUAUACGAACCAGCAAGUCUCGGUGAUCGCGCGCCGGGCGGUGGACUGCUCGGCCGUCAAGGUGAUCCGAGAGUACCAGCUAAACUACCCAUCGAUCUCGCUGAGGUUCCCACAGACAUGGAGCCCGACGUUUGUUAUUGAGGUAGACCGCACUGUGAAGAACGUCGGAGAGGUGCCGGCCACGUACCACCAUCAGGUCGACAUGCCGGCAGACAGCCCUGUGAGCGUCGGCGUUUUCCCGAGCUCCCUAUUGUUCACCGAGGCGGACCAAGUGCAGAAGUUACAAAUAUUCGUGUGGGCGACGAACAGCAGCGCCACGGCGGUGCAGGGCGCCCUACGGUGGGUGUCAGAGAAGCACACCGUGAGGAUCCCCAUCUCGGUCACCUUUGCCGCAGAAUAG